CAUGGAAUAUGCAUAGGCUCAACAGAUCUUUGAAACGCUCACAGGCGUCAAAGAGAGAAUCUUUUUCAUCUUGUCUAAAGUUAUUAAUUUCACUUCUCACUUG